AGAUCUCCUGUCACUGAACUUUACUGCCUCCCAUUACGGUGAAGAUGGCGCCCUGGUGACUGAAUCCACAGGACAUCUGGCUCACUGCUGUUACACGGGGACGGUGGAUGACGUGACGGAAUCGGCGGUCUCUGUGUGCACCUGUCACGGACUCAGUGGUCAUAUAUCUAUCGCGGAUGAAACCUACAGCAUUGACCCCAUUUCCCACCCUGGGUCACAGCCGUACUAUGUGAUAACCGGCAUUGGUAAAGGACACCCGGCGCCAGGCUCACACUACCAGCAACGCCGCUCCCUCAGCUUCACCGGC